rnacentral:rRNA from 1 species
GACGAACGCUGGCGGCGUGCUUAACACAUGCAAGUCGAACGAAGUGGCGCACGGGUGAGUAACGCGUAAUCAACCUGCCCUUCAGAGGGGGAUAACAGUUGGAAAAGACUGCUAUUACCGCAUACUGAAGGAGGGGUUUGCGUUGGAUUAGCUAGUUGGAGGGGUAACGGCCCACUAAGGCGAUGAUCAGUAGCCGUUCUGGGAGGGUGAAGGGGCACAUUGGGACUGGGACACGGCCCAGACUCCUACGGGAGGCAGCAGUGGGUAAUCUGCCGAAAUGGACGAAAGUCUGACGGAGCAACGCCGCGUGAGUGAUGACGGCCUUCGGGUUGUAAAGCUCUGUUAAUCGGGACGCGGUACCGGAAUAGAAAGCCACGGCUAACUACGUGCCAGCAGCCGCGGUAAUUC